AGCGCUGGUCACCUCUGGAACCUGAUUGGUCACCUCAGGCGCCACCCCAGUUGAUUGGCAGGUCACUGUACCUCUCGUUGAAAGAAGCGCAUUAGGGAAAGACAAACGAGGGAGGUAGAAUAAUGGUGUUUCAAAACACGAAUGGACCCAGAGGACCUACUUUAAAUACAUCAUUCAGAAGUGGCCCAGAUGUGGUGGAGGCGUGGUCUGAGAAUCUCGUCUUGAGAAGAGUCCUCGGCACUGUCUGCUACAUUCCAAUCACCUGCUCAUCGAUCCAAGGAACAUUUGUAGUGAAUUUGACACAGACCUCCAUCAGGCAGCCGAGAACCACAACAUCACAGUGGAAUGGGCGUUCACAACCACAGCUGACACUUCCCCCGACUCCCUUUUUAUCUUCUGUGAGCUGAUAACUGAUCACAAAGUCUCAGUCCUGUUUCAUUUACAUGGAGCUGUUGAGGUCCCAGAGACUCACGAUCAACAUUUUGUAGGACCAGUCCAGUGGGACAAAGAUGUCGUCAGAGACGGACAGCUCAGACUUCAUGUAUCCAGACUCAGGACUGAGGACUCGGGCCGGCAUCGCUGUAAAGUGUGGAAGAAUCUUUUUUUUUUAUUCACUGUCUUUCUGAAACAACAUUUAUGCUCAGACUCCAGUGAAGGAUCUGAGGAAAUGUAAGUCUCUGCAGGCUCAGGAAACAGUUUGAUCGACAAAACUUAAGGAAACAGUUUUAUACGAUGGACAGAUCUGAACAGAGCAGCAGGCUUUGAGACAAUCAGGGAACCAAGGAGGAGAAGGGACUCAAGCUCUGUUUUAACAGUCCAUAAAGGAAAUGGACAAAUGGGACUCGGGCUGAUAAAACAACGUUAAAUCACGCACUAUUGUGCAAUUUGCAAUAGAAGAAUGGGCCCAAAUCCCUCAGGAGUCCUGUGCCAACCUUGUAAAGAACUAUUCUAAGAGGUUGUUGUCAGUUGUGGCUCAGAGAGGGUACACUGUUGACUACUAAUGGCCAGCAGGGUAAUAAUAUUGGAUGUGUCAUUUUUGCCCUUUUUUUGUUUCACAUCAGUGUAUCAAUAAAAUAUUACAAUCAAACUUAGUGGACAUUUUGUCUUCGUUGUUUUGGAAACACA
rnacentral:lncRNA from 1 species